rnacentral:tRNA from 1 species
AGGAAAUUAGGUUAAUUAGACCAAGAGCCUUCAAAGCCCUUAGCAAAUAUACAAAUAUUUAUUUCCUG